GGGGUUGGCGGCAUGCUUAACAUGCAGUCGAACGGUAGAGUAGCAAUACUUGAGAGUGGCGAACGGGUGAGUAAUAUAUCGGAACGUGCCCAAUCGUGGGGGAUAACGUAGAGAAAUUUACGCUAAUACCGCAUAAGAUCUAAGGAUGAAAGCGGGGGACCCGUAAGGGCCUCGCGCGAUUGGAGCGGCUGAUAUCAGAUUAGGUAGUUGGUGUGGUAAAAGCGCACCAAGCCGACGAUCUGUAGCUGGUUUGAGAGAACGACCAGCCACACUGGGACUGAGACACGGCCCAGACUCCUACGGGAGGCAGCAGUGGGGAAUUUUGGACAAUGGGCGAAAGCCUGAUCCAGCAAUGCCGCGUGCAGGAAGAAGGCCUUCGGGUUGUAAACUGCUUUUGUACGGAACGAAACGGUGCUCUUUAAUAAAGAGUGCUAAUGACGGUACCGUAAGAAUAAGCACCGGCUAACUACGUGCCAGCAGCCGCGGUAAUACGUAGGGUGCGAGCGUUAAUCGGAAUUACUGGGCGUAAAGCGUGCGCAGGCGGUUAUAUAAGACAGUUGUGAAAUCCCUGGGCUCAACCUAGGAAUUGCAUCUGUGACUGUAUAGCUAGAGUACGGUAGAAGGGGGGAUGGAAUUCCGCGUGUAGCAGUGAAAUGCGUAGAUAUGCGGAGGAACACCGAUGGCGAAGGCAAUCCCCUGGACCUGUACUGACGCUCAUGCACGAAAGCGUGGGGAGCAAACAGGAUUAGAUACCCUGGUAGUCCACGCCCUAAACGAUGUCAACUGGUUUGUUGGGUGCAUUAGUACUCAGUAACGAAGCUAACGCGUGAAGUUGACCGCCUGGGGAGUACGGCCGCAAGGUUGAAACUCAAAGGAGUUGACGGGGACCCGCACAGCGUGGAUGAUGUGGGUUUAAUUCGAUGCAACGCGAAAACCUUACCUACCUUUGACAUGUACGACUCGGCAGAGAUGGCUGUGCUCGAAGAGAGCGUACACAGUGCUGCAUGCUGUCGUCAGCUCUGUCGUGAGAUGUGGUAGUCCGCACGACGCACCUGUCAUAGUGCUACUAGUGCCUCUAUGAACUGCGUGACACGGAGAGUGGAUGACGUCAAGUCUCAUGGCUGUACGUAGCUACACCGCUUGACAUGCAUGUACAAAGUUCAUCCGAGGAGACAUCUAAGCUUCAUCGACUCCUAUCUAUGCUCACGUCG
rnacentral:rRNA from 1 species